rnacentral:rRNA from 1 species
GUUUCAUGCUGGUGAUCUAACUCAUUUUGAGUACAAAGGGCCAGUGAUCCCUAUAGUGCAUCAUGGUUGCUCAAAAUUAGAGAAGGCAACAAUAAUGUUUGAAGGUAGUAAAGGACUGAGCCAUGUGUUCAAUGAUGUUUCAAUCAUUUUGGGAGUGAAUACACUAAGUGUGCAAGCUCAUGUACUUGCAUAUGAACAGGUUACCCGGUGUCUAUUUAUCUAUUCUUGUUUGCUUACCUCAUUGUUCUUGAAACUGUGUUCUAAUAUUAUCAUAUUUCCCUAUCAUGUUUUAGUUGGAGAAGGUGGCACCAAGACCACAUAGCAUGUUUAUGCAUUUGCGGCACAUGACUUGCGGAUUAACUAUCAUCUCUAGCAUAUCAAAGGCUGACAAAUGGUGUUCUUCGGCUGGCCUGUUGUCUAAAUCUCACACCACAACUAGAGACGUUGCACUUGGAUGUGAGUGGCAUUUUGUUGGUAUAGUUAAGACCCAUACUUGGAUUGUUUCUGACAGAGUGGUUGCUAACAUCCAAAUGCAGAUGAUGUAUUCACACUGUAAUGUUUAGGUCCCUCAUGAUUUUGUGGAGGAGGAAGGUCCCCACAUGCAUCGCCACGAUCAUCUCAGGAAUGUCUACAUCAGCGGGUUCCGGUGUUACACUGCUCAGACCACACUUGCGUGUUGUAUCCUGGAAAAUGCUUGUGUUCUUGAGCACAUGAGAUUACAACCCUGGAUCGCGACCUGGAUAUGCCCUGAUCCUGGCCUGGAGAAUAUCGGCGUCGAAGGAAGAUUUCUGCCGAGGGUUCGUGAGUGGGCACGACUCACCUCUGAGCACUUCAAUAAGGCGAUCACCAUCUAAGAUGCCCCUUCAGAGUGAGUAAGCAUGUAUCAUUUCCUCAUCUGUGAACCAUCAAACCAUAUUGUCAUUCAUUUUUAAGGUUAAUGUUUGCUGGUGCCGCUUCUGUGUGUGCGCUUGUUUUCUACAUUUCUUCAGGCUAUAGCCGGUGUGUUGUGUUAUUGGCUUGGAUGGAUGGAUGUUCUUAUGUUGAACUGGCUACUUCCAGUAGAUAUCCAUAAAUCAUGA